UAUGGCCAUAUCAGCAUUGAAACACCAGUUCUCAUAUGAUCACCAAAGUUGAGCAACACAGUUUGGUCAGUACCAUGAUGUGUGGCUGCUUAGGAAUACCAGGUGCUGUAAG